rnacentral:misc_RNA from 1 species
CUGUCCAGAGGGCUCAGGGUC